rnacentral:rRNA from 1 species
UACAGAGGUCUCGAGCGUUAGGCGGAAUCACUGGGCUUAAAGCGUGUGUAGGCGGAUCGGUAAGUACCUUGUGAAAUCCCACAGCUUAACUGUGGAACUGCUCGGUAUACUGCCAGUCUUGAGCCAGCUAGGGGCUACCGGAACAAAUGGUGGAGCGGUGAAAUGCGUAGAUAUCAUUUGGAACGCCAAUGGUGAAAACAGGUAGCUGGGGCUGUGCUGACGCUGAGACACGAAAGCCAGGGGAGCGAACGGG